rnacentral:rRNA from 1 species
CCUGAGUACGACGGAGCACGUGAAAUUCCGUCGGAAUCUGGGAGGACCAUCUCCUAAGGCUAAAUACUCUCUAGUGACCGAUAGUGAACCAGUACCGUGAGGGAAAGGUGAAAAGUACCCCGGAAGGGGAGUGAAAGAGAACUUGAAACCGUGUGCUUACAAGUAGUCAGAGCCCGUUAAUGGGUGAUGGCGUGCCUUUUGUAGAAUGAACCGGCGAGUUACGAUCUGAUGCAAGGUUAAGCAGAAAAUGUGGAGCCGUAGCGAAAGCGAGUCUGAAUAGGGCGAAUGAGUAUUUGGUCGUAGACCCGAAACCAGGUGAUCUACCCUUGGUCAGGUUGAAGUUCAGGUAACACUGAAUGGAGGACCGAACCGACUUACGUUGAAAAGUGAGCGGAUGAACUGAGGGUAGCGGAGAAAUUCCAAUCGAACUUGGAGAUAGCUGGUUCUCUCCGAAAUAGCUUUAGGGCUAGCCUCAAGUGAUGAUUAUUGGAGGUAGAGCACUGUUUGGACGAGGGGCCCCUCUCGGGUUACCGAAUUCAGACAAACUCCGAAUGCCAAAUAAUUUAACUUGGGAGUCAGAAUGUGGGUGAUAAGGUCCAUAUUCGAAAGGGAAACAGCCCAGACCACCAGCUAAGGUCCCAAAAUAUAUGUUAAGUGGAAAAGGAUGUGGCGUUGCCCAGACAACUAGGAUGUUGGCUUAGAAGCAGCCAUCAUUUAAAGAGUGCGUAAUAGCUCACUAGUCGAGUGACACUGCGCCGAAAAUGUACCGGGGCUAAACAUAUUACCGAAGCUGUGGAUUGUCCUUUGGACAAUGGUAGGAGAGCGUUCUAAGGGCGUUGAAGCAUGAUCGCAAGGACAUGUGGAGCGCUUAGAAGUGAGAAUGCCGGUGUGAGUAGCGAAAGACGGGUGAGAAUCCCGUCCACCGAUUGACUAAGGUUUCCAGAGGAAGGCUCGUCCGCUCUGGGUUAGUCGGGUCCUAAGCUGAGGCCGACAGGCGUAGGCGAUGGAUAACAGGUUGAUAUUCCUGUACCACCAUUAUUCGUUUUAAGCGAUGGGGGGACGCAGUAGGAUAGGCGAAGCGUGCUGUUGGAGUGCACGUCCAAGCAGUGAGAUUGAGUGUUAGGCAAAUCCGGCACUCUUAAGAUUGAGCUGUGAUGGGGAGAGGAACUUGUUCCUCGAGUCGUUGAUUUCACACUGCCGAGAAAAGCCUCUAGCUAGAAUAACGGUGCCCGUACCGCAAACCGACACAGGUAGUCAAGAUGAGAAUUCUAAGGUGAGCGAGCGAACUCUCGUUAAGGAACUCGGCAAAAUGACCCCGUAACUUCGGGAGAAGGGGUGCUCUUUGAGGUUCACGCUUCGAAGAGCCGCAGUGAAUAGGCCCAAGCGACUGUUUAUCAAAAACACAGGUCUCUGCUAAACCGUAAGGUGACGUAUAGGGGCUGACGCCUGCCCGGUGCUGGAAGGUUAAGAGGAGUGGUUAGCGCAAGCGAAGCUACGAAUCGAAGCCCCAGUAAACGGCGGCCGUAACUAUAACGGUCCUAAGGUAGCGAAAUUCCUUGUCGGGUAAGUUCCGACCCGCACGAAAGGCGUAACGAUUUGGGCACUGUCUCAACGAGAGACUCGGUGAAAUCAUAGUACCGGUGAAGAUGCCGGUUACCCGCGACAGGACGGAAAGACCCCGUGGAGCUUUACUGUAGCCUGAUAUUGAAAUUCGGUACAGUUUGUACAGGAUAGGUAGGAGCCUUAGAAGCGUGAGCGCUAGCUUACGUGGAGGCAUUGGUGGGAUACUACCCUAAUUGUAUUGGAUUUCUAACCCGCAGCACUUAUCGUGCUGGGAGACAGUGUCAGGCGGGCAGUUUGACUGGGGCGGUCGCCUCCUAAAGAGUAACGGAGGCGCUCAAAGGUUCCCUCAGAAUGGUUGGAAAUCAUUCAUAGAGUGUAAAGGCAUAAGGGAGCUUGACUGCGAGACCUACAAGUCGAGCAGGGUCGAAAGACGGACUUAGUGAUCCGGUGGUUCCGCAUGGAAGGGCCAUCGCUCAACGGAUAAAAGCUACCCCGGGGAUAACAGGCUUAUCUCCCCCAAGAGUUCACAUCGACGGGGAGGUUUGGCACCUCGAUGUCGGCUCAUCGCAUCCUGGGGCUGUAGUCGGUCCCAAGGGUUGGGCUGUUCGCCCAUUAAAGCGGUACGCGAGCUGGGUUCAGAACGUCGUGAGACAGUUCGGUCCCUAUCCGUCGUGGGCGUAGGAAAUUUGAGAGGAGCUGUCCUUAGUACGAGAGGACCGGGAUGGACAUACCUCUGGUGUACCAGUUGUCGUGCCAACGGCAUAGCUGGGUAGCUAUGUAUGGACGGGAUAAGUGCUGAAAGCAUCUAAGCAUGAAGCCCCCCUCGAGAUGAGAUUUCCCAACUUC